CUGCGGCGGCCUAAUACAUGCAAGUCGAGGGGCAGCACGGGUAGCAAUACCUGGUGGCGACCGGCGCACGGGUGCGUAACGCGUAUGCAACCUACCUUUAACAGGGGGAUAGCUCCGAGAAAUCGGGAUUAAUACCCCAUAGUAUUGUUUUGUGGCAUCACAAGAUGAUUAAAGUUCCGACGGUUAAAGAUGGGCAUGCGUGCCAUUAGCUAGUUGGUGAGGUAACGGCUCACCAAGGCAACGAUGGCUAGGGGUUCUGAGAGGAUUAUCCCCCACACUGGUACUGAGACACGGACCAGACUCCUACGGGAGGCAGCAGUAAGGAAUAUUGGGCAAUGGACGCAAGUCUGACCCAGCCAUGCCGCGUGCAGGAAGACAGCCUUAUGGGUUGUAAACUGCUUUUGUCAGGGAAUAAACCCCCGGUCGUGCACCGGGGCUGAAGGUACCUGAAGAAUAAGCACCGGCUAACUCCGUGCCAGCAGCCGCGGUAAUACGGAGGGUGCAAGCGUUAUCCGGAUUUAUUGGGUUUAAAGGGUGCGCAGGCGGGUUUGUAAGUCAGCGGUGAAAUCCCACGGCUCAACCGUGGAACUGCCAUUGAUACUGCAGGCCUUGAGUGUAUUUGAAGUGGGCGGGAAUGUAGCCAUGUAGCGGUGAAAUGCAUAGAUAUGCUACAGAACACCAAUUGCGAAGGCAGCUCACUAAACUACAACUGACGCUCAUGCACGAAAGCGUGGGGGAUCAAACAGGNAUUAGAUACCCUGGGUAGUCCACGCUGUAAACGAUGA
rnacentral:rRNA from 1 species